rnacentral:rRNA from 1 species
UACGUAGGGUGCAAGCGUUGUCCGGAACUAUUGGGCGUAAAGAGUUCGCAGGCGGUUUGUCGCGUCCGUUGUGAAAGCUUGGGGCUCAACCCCAAGUCUGCAGUGGAUACGGGCAGACUAGAGUCAGGUAGGGGAGAACGGAAUUCCAGGUGGAGCGGUGAAAUGCGUAGAGAUCUGGAAGAACACCAAAGGCGAAGGCAGCGUCCUGGCAAGCAUCUGACGCUCAUGGGCGAAAGCGAGGGGAGCGAACGGG